rnacentral:rRNA from 1 species
GACGAACGCUGGCGGCGUGCCUAAUACAUGCAAGUUGAGCGCUGAAGGUUGGUACUUGUACCAACUGGAUGAGCAGCGAACGGGUGAGUAACGCGUGGGGAAUCUGCCUUUGAGCGGGGGACAACAUUUGGAAACGAAUGCUAAUACCGCAUAAAAACUUUAAACACAAGUUUUAAGUUUGAAAGAUGCAAUUGCAUCACUCAAAGAUGAUCCCGCGUUGUAUUAGCUAGUUGGCGAGGUAAAGGCUCACCAAGGCGAUGAUACAUAGCCGACCUGAGAGGGUGAUCGGCCACAUUGGGACUGAGACACGGCCCAAACUCCUACGGGAGGCAGCAGUAGGGAAUCUUCGGCAAUGGACGAAAGUCUGACCGAGCAACGCCGCGUGAGUGAAGAAGGUUUUCGGAUCGUAAAACUCGGUUGGUAGAGAAGAACGUUGGUGAGAGUGGAAAGCUCAUCAAGUGACGGUAACUACCCAGAAAGGGACGGCUAACUACGUG